GUUACCUUCGGGUAAUGAGGAUGGCGGACGGGUGAGUAACGCGUAAGGAACUUGCCUCUUGGACUGGGACAACUGUUGGAAACGACAGCUAAUACCGGAUAUUAUGAGAUUCUCGCAUGAGAAACUUAUGAAAGCUAUAUGCGCCAAGAGAGAGCCUUGCGUUCCAUUAGCUAGUUGGUGGGGUAACGGCCCACCAAGGCGACGAUGGAUAGCCGGCCUGAGAGGGUGAACGGCCACAAGGGGACUGAGACACGGCCCUUACUCCUACGGGAGGCAGCAGUGGGGAAUAUUGGACAAUGGACCAAAAGUCUGAUCCAGCAAUUCUGUGUGCACGAUGAAGGUCUUCGGAUUGUAAAGUGCUUUCAGUUGGGAAGAAGCAAGUGACGGUACCAACAGAAGAAGCGACGGCUAAAUACGUGCCAGCAGCCGCGGUAAUACGUAUGUCGCAAGCGUUAUCCGGAUUUAUUGGGCGUAAAGCGCGUCUAGGCGGAAAAAUAAGUCUGAUGUUAAAAUGCGGGGCUCAACUCCGUAUUGCGUUGGAAACUGUUUUUCUAGAGUACUGGAGAGGUGGGCGGAACUACAAGUGUAGAGGUGAAAUUCGUAGAUAUUUGUA
rnacentral:rRNA from 1 species